UUGAGAAGGCUGUUGGAUCCAGUCAAAUUCAAAAAGGCCUUGAAGGUUUUUGGAGUUGGUUCUACCAGUGAUUCUGUUGAUGCCCUGGUGGAUAGCUGGAACAGGGAACUUGCCAGGGAUGUUUUGACUUCUUAAAAAUUUCAUGUGAGGAGGAGAAAGCUGCUGAUGUGAGCUGCAGUUUGCUUUUUGAUUCUAUGCUUCAAAUGAUGAUUUUUCCAUCCAAGAGGAAUAAAGUUAUGCCAUUGCUUAUUCCCUUGACCUACCUGGAGGGACACUAUAAUGUGGAUCACAUGAGGCAGUCUGUCUGGGACAUCGGUUUGGAAGCAUCACCAAGUAUUGCUAGAGGCUAGAUUAGAUUAGCAUUUAGCCUUUGAUAACAUGGAUCUUUUAAACUCUAACUCUACUUUUGACAUCAUUUUCUGUCUACAGUUAUACAUUUAAAUUAUGCAUAGUUCACACUUACCCUUUUGUCAUGAAAUAAAUAAGACAGGCUGUAGCCCUUUCAUAUAUCUGAUAUGGACGAAUCUCUCAUACAAC